UACGUAGGGUGCGAGCGUUAAUCGGAAUUACUGGGCGUAAAGCGUGCGCAGGCGGUUUUGUAAGACAGAUGUGAAAUCCCCGGGCUUAACCUGGGAACUGCAUUUGUGACUGCAAGACUAGAGUGUGUCAGAGGGGGGUGGAAUUCCGCGUGUAGCAGUGAAAUGCGUAGAUAUGUGGAGGAAUACCGAUGGCGAAGGCAGCCCCCUGGGAUAACACUGACGCUCAUGCACGAAAGCGUGGGGAGCAAACAGG
rnacentral:rRNA from 1 species